AACGAACGCUGGCGGCAUGCCUAACACAUGCAAGUCGAACGAAACCUUCGGGACUUGUGUCGCACGGGUUCGUAACGCGUGGGAAGCUUCCCUUGUGGUCGGAAUAACUCUCCGAAAGGGGUGCUAAUAGCGGAUAAUAUCUUCUGACCAAAGAUUUAUUGCCUUUGGAUGUUCCCGCGUUGCAUUAGCUAGUUGGUAGGGUAAAAGCAUACCAAGGCGUCGAUCCAUAGCUGGUCUGAGAGGAUGAUCAGCCACACUGAGAGUGAGACACGGCCCAGAAUCCUACGGGAGGGAGCAGUGGGUAAUAUUGGAACGUGGGCGAAAGGCUGAUGGAGCAAUGACGCGUGAGUUCUGAAGGCAUUAAGGUUGUAAAGCUCUUUUAACCGGGAUGAUCAUGACGGUACCGAGAGAGUAAGCCCCGGCUAACUCCGUG
rnacentral:rRNA from 1 species